CCAAUGUUCCUCCAAUGCCCCAGCAGCCUGUCCUCCCCUCCCCAGCACUCCAAGCUUGGACACGGUGGCUGGGUGACCUUACCUCGGAUGCUGAGGGUCGUGCAGGUGGUGACAAUGUGGAAGGGGUGGGUGGGCGCCCAAUUCGCGUAGUUCCAGGGGCUGGAGUCCUCCCAGUAGGAUUGCCACUGCCCUGCCUGCUGUGCCAACACCUCAGUCCCCAGGGAGAGCCCCCACCACCCCUACCCACUCCCUCGACCCCAAAAACCAGUCCCAGCAACCAAUAGCCAGCCCCUCAUGCCUCAAAACCCAGCCUCCAGCCCCAGGCUCGUCCCCCACAAAGCAGCCCCAGCCCCUCACCCCACAAAGCAGCCCCCAGCACCCCUUUGGCAGCCCCUUGUCCCCGGAGUCCUCUCACCCUGAAGCUGGUGACAGCUCCAAUCCAGGGUGCGAUGAUGAUGUGGUAGCUCUUGCCAGCCCUGCAGUGGAGGAUGCGGAGGACGUGACAGAGCUGGAGGUGCCCGAGGAGUACAGCGGGUGCCGGGGGGCCAGUGACAAGCAGGCACCCGGUGUCCCCAGCAUGCCGGGCGCCGCCACCCGCCACUACGUCAUCAGCACCAGCUACCGAAGCUUCCACCGUGCGCAGCGCAUCUGUGCCUGGCGCUUCCAUGGGCGCUUGGUCUCGAUCCACAAUUCCCGCACCAACACUUUCCUGCUGCUCCUGGCACGCCGGCACAACAAUGCCGGCCUGGUCUGGAUCGGUGCUGUCAGCCAGCCCGCAAUCCCAUUCCCGAAUUGCCACUGGACCGACCGGAGCCCCUGGAACUACAGCCGGUGGGCGCACGGGCACCCCCUGCCCAGCCACCGCUUCU
rnacentral:lncRNA from 1 species